rnacentral:rRNA from 1 species
GAUGAACGCUGGCGGCGUGCCUAAUACAUGCAAGUCGAGCGAACAGACGAGGAGCUUGCUCCUCUGACGUUAGCGGCGGACGGGUGAGUAACACGUGGAUAACCUACCUAUAAGACUGGGAUAACUUCGGGAAACCGGAGCUAAUACCGGAUAAUAUAUUGAACCGCAUGGUUCAAUAGUGAAAGACGGUUUUGCUGUCACUUAUAGAUGGAUCCGCGCCGCAUUAUCUAGUUGGUAAGGUAACGGCUUACCAAGGCAACGAUGCGUAGCCGACCUGAGAGGGUGAUCGGCCACACUGGAACUGAGACACGGUCCAGACUCCUACGGGAGGCAGCAGUAGGGAAUCUUCCGCAAUGGGCGAAAGCCUGACGGAGCAACGCCGCGUGAGUGAUGAAGGUCUUCGGAUCGUAAAACGCUGUUAUUAGGGAAGAACAAAUGUGUAAGUAACUAUGCACGUAUUGACGGUACCUAAUCAGAAAGCCACGGCUAACUACGUG